UAUACAACAAAAAUAACGCCUAACAAUCUGAAAAAAGAAAAAGCUGAGCGCCGCAGACCAGAAAAAAACCCCAUCCCCCUCAGUCUCUGCCUUCUACAAGACCCCCCUGUUCUCGUCAUCUUGAAGCAACCAAAAACAGAUGCUAGAACCAAAACACCCCUGAGCCAUCUUCUUCUUCAACACUUUUGUCAGCCAAAAUCCAGCCCGUUGCCGCCACACCCGACCAGCGAAAUCCUCCAUUCCAACGCCUAGCUCCCUCCAGCGAAAUCCUUUAGCAACCAAGAGCAGCCGCUGAUCCUCGUCUCUUCGAAAACAUGUAGAAGUAGCGUGAGAAGGCAGUGACAAAAGGUCGCAAGAACAGAUUUGAGACGAUUAUGUUUUUGCAUCUUCCAUAUUUCAAAAUGAUAUUCCAGUCAUGAAUUAGCUAGGACUGUGUUCCAGAAAAUGAGCGUUGUUUGAGGUUCAAUCUUGAUUUCCUGGCAAAUUCGAGGUCGCCGGAGGCAUCGAGGUUCAUCUUUGUUCCGUUGGUUUCUCUCUUCCAGAUUUAAUCAGUUCAUGUUAAUGUUCAGUGUAGUCUUUGUUUCAGCAAGUUUGAAUGUGUUUGUAAUUAAGAAGAUGGUAGUAUUAAUUAGUUGCUUUGCUUUUUUUUCUCUGAUUAGCCUUUUACCUUGUGGUGUCAUUGUUGGGAGGAUUAGAUGCCCGUGAAAUGCAACAAAUGUCCGAUUUCUUUUUUUUUUUUACUGUGUUACUAGAUAUUGCUAUCA